rnacentral:rRNA from 1 species
GAAGGGUGCAAGCGUUACUCGGAAUUACUGGGCGUAAAGCGUGCGUAGGUGGUUGUUUAAGUCUGUUGUGAAAGCCCUGGGCUCAACCUGGGAAUUGCAGUGGAUACUGGGCGACUAGAGUGUGGUAGAGGGUAGUGGAAUUCCCGGUGUAGCAGUGAAAUGCGUAGAGAUCGGGAGGAACAUCCAUGGCGAAGGCAGCUACCUGGACCAACACUGACACUGAGGCACGAAAGCGUGGGGAGCAAACAGGAUUAGAUACCCUGGUAGUCCACGCCCUAAACGAUGCGAACUGGAUGUUGGGUGCAAUUUGGCACGCAGUAUCGAAGCUAACGCGUUAAGUUCGCCGCCUGGGGAGUACGGUCGCAAGACUG